UUUUUGGGCUUGGUAAUUGGAAUGAGGGAGAGUUAAACGGACCAUCGAGUAUCCAUUGGAGGGCAAGUCUGGUGCCAGCAGCUGCGGUAAUACCAGCUCCAAUAGCGUAUAUUAAAGUUGUUGCAGUUAAAAAGCUCGUAGUUGGACUUGUGUGCGCUGUCCGCGGGUGGCCUGCGCCCAAAAGGGCGUUUCGGUUCGGCCCCGGUGGCGCCUUGAAAUCUGCAGCUGGGGGGACGUUGGCCUUAACUGGUCGGCGACCGCACGCCGGCUGCUCGGUUACUGUGAGAAAAUUAGAGUGUUCAAGGCAGGCAUUGGGUGCAAUUGAAUACAUUAGCAUGGAAUAAUAAAAUAUGGCUCCUGCCGUAUUUUGUUGGUUUUGACUGGUGGGAGUAAUGAUUGAUAGGGACGGUUGGGGGUGCUAGUAUUGAGCGGCCAGAGGUGAAAUUCAUGGAUUCGCUCAAGACUAACUUAUGCGAAAGCAUUCACCAAGGACGUCCUCUUUAAUCAAGAACGAAAGUUGGGGGAUCGAAGACGAUCAGAUACCGUCGUAGUCUCAACCAUAAACUAUGUCGACUCGGGAUCGGCGGUAGUUUUUUCAUUAAGACACUGUCGGGACCACGGGAGAAAUCAAAGUGUCUGGACUCUGGGGGAAGUAUGGUCGCAAGGCUGAAACUUGAAGGAAUUGACGGAAGGGCACCACCAGGAGUGGAGCCUGCGGCUUAAUUUGACCCAACACGGGGAAACUUACCAGGUCCAGAGAUGUAGAGGAUUGACAGAUUGAAGCUCUUUCUUGAUCACUUCGGUGGUGGUGCAUGGCCGUUCUUAGUUGGUGGAGUGAUUUUCUGGUUAAUUCCGUUAACGAACGAGACCUCAGCCUGCUAGUGUAGUCGGCUGGAUUGCCUUUGGCGAUCCGUGAUUUCGACUUCUUAGAGGGACAAUCGACGCGCAGUCGAUGGAAGUUUGAGGCAAUAACAGGUCUGUGAUGCCCUUAGAUGUUCUGGGCCGCACGCGCGCUACACUGCUGGGCUCAGCGAGUUUUACUUGGCCGAGAGGCCCGGUUAAUCUUGUGAAAUCCCAGCGUGCUUGGGCUCGCCUCCUGCAACUGGAGGCGCCAACGAGGAAUUCCUAGUAGACGCAGGUCAUCAACCUGCAUCGAUUACGUCCCUGCCCUUUGUACACACCGCCCGUCGUUCCAUAAGAGUGAGGCAUCCGGUGAAUUCUCGGGAGAGCCUGGGCGUGGCCAACAAUGGUCUGCUCGGGUUUGAACUUGCAUAAACUUGG
rnacentral:rRNA from 1 species